AACGUACGCUGGCGGCACGCCUAACACAUGCAAGUCGAACGAAGUAGCAAUACUUAGUGGCAGACGGGUGAGUAACAUGUAGGUAUCUGCCCUUUGGCCUGGAAUAACACGAGGAAACUUGUGCUAAUACCGGAUAAGUCUUUACGGAGAAAGCUUUAUGCACCAUUGGAUGAGCCUGCACUUGAUUAGUUUGUUGGUGGGGUAAUGGCCUACCAAGACUGUGAUCAAUAGCUGAUUUGAGAGGAUGAUCAGCCACAUUGGGACUGAGACACGGCCCAAACUCCUACGGGAGGCAGCAGUGGGGAAUCUUGCACAAUGGAGGAAACUCUGAUGCAGCGAUGCCGCGUGAGUGAAGAAGGCCCUUGGGUUGUAAAGCUCUUUCGUCGGGGAAGAAAAUGACUGUACCCGAAUAAGAAGGUCCGGCUAACUUCGUGCCAGCAGCCGCGGUAAUACGAAGGGACCUAGCGUAGUUCGGAAUUACUGGGCUUAAAGAGUUCGUAGGUGGUUGAAAAAGUUGGUGGUGAAAUCCCAGAGCUUAACUCUGGAACUGCCAUCAAAACUUUUCAGCUAGAGUAUGAUAGAGGAAAGCAGAAUUUCUAGUGUAGAGGUGAAAUUCGUAGAUAUUAGAAAGAAUACCAAUUGCGAAGGCAGCUUUCUGGAUCAUUACUGACACUGAGGAACGAAAGCAUGGGUAGCGAAGAGGAUUAGAUACCCUCGUAGUCCAUGCCGUAAACGAUGUGUGUUAGACGUUGGAAAUUUAUUUUCAGUGUCGCAGCGAAAGCGAUAAACACACCGCCUGGGGAGUACGACCGCAAGGUUAAAACUCAAAUGAAUUGACGGGGACCCGCACAAGUAGUGGAGCAUGUGGUUUAAUUCGAAGAUACGCGCAGAACCUUACCAACACUUGACAUGUUCGUCGCGACUUUAAGAGAUUAAAGUUUUCGGUUCGGCCGGACGAAACACAGGUGCUGCAUGGCUGUCGUCAGCUCGUGUCGUGAGAUGUUGGGUUAAGUCCCGCAACGAGCGCAACCCUCACUUUUAGUUGCCAUCAUUAAGUUGGGCACUCUGAAAGAACUGCCAGUGAUAAGCUGGAGGAAGGUGGGGAUGACGUCAAGUCCUCAUGGCCCUUACGUGUUGGGCUACACACGUGCUACAAUGGUAUCUACAACAGGAAGCAAGACUGCGAAGUUAAGCAAAUCCUUAAAAGAUACCUCAGUUCGGAUUGCACUCUGCAACUCGAGUGCAUGAAGCUGGAAUUACUAGUAAUCGUGGAUCAGCGUGCCACGGUGAAUGCGUUCCCGGGUCUUGUACACACCGCCCGUCACACCAUGGGAGUUGGUUCUACCUUAAGGCAAGGUUUUAAACCCUUGACCACGGUAUAGUCAGCGACUGGGGUG
rnacentral:rRNA from 1 species